CAGUAGCCACGGUAAUACGGAGGGUGCAAGCGUUAAUCGGAAUUACUGGGCGUAAAGCGCACGCAGGCGGUUUGUUAAGUCAGAUGUGAAAUCCCCGAGCUUAACUUGGGAACUGCAUUUGAAACUGGCAAGCUAGAGUCUUGUAGAGGGGGGUAGAAUUCCAGGUGUAGCGGUGAAAUGCGUAGAGAUCUGGAGGAAUACCGGUGGCGAAGGCGGCCCCCUGGACAAAGACUGACGCUCAGGUGCGAAAGCGUGGGGAGCAAACAGGAUUAGAUACCCGAGUAGUCCCUGUCUCUUAUAC
rnacentral:rRNA from 1 species